rfam:Streptomyces cellostaticus strain DSM 40189 genomic scaffold PRJNA299219_s034, whole genome shotgun sequence.
AGAUGAGAGAUACACCCCGCCCACAGGGGACUGUGGGCGAUCUCAGGCCGGGGCCUCCCCAGCUUCGACCUGGUCGUGCCCUCGCGCACACAACCGGGGCCUGACGGCUCCGGGAUCUCCUCACCGAUCGGA